CAAAAUAUACGAAAAAAUAUUAUUUUCGUUUCGUCACUGCGCGGAAAGUGCUUCCGAAAGUUUUAUUCAACGCCCCGGUAGUCCGCCCAUCGAGUAAAUGCGGUUUCGGUGAUGUGCAAAACGAAAGCAGAAGACAUUUUUGGUUCUUAAAUUUUACUUACGGCGCACGCACACAUACACACACGCACCGCUUGAGAGAAGCAGCAGCACACACAACCACAACCAGCCAUCAGCAAGAAGAAGAGACGCAGCAGCGCAGCGAAAAAGCAACGAACGAGGAGACAACGACGUCGGUUGACUGGCGGCGAGGCGGGCAAGCGACGAGGAAGACCAUCAACUGUAAAUUUGCGAGUGCUUCUUCCCUUGCAGGACACGCAUCUCUUGGCGGCAGAAGAGAGCAGACCGACAGCCAAUUCCUCCCAACGCCAGCACACACACAGUAUGUUCAGUAGAAAUGGGCGGAUUCCUGGAUAAGCCGAAAACCGCCAAACACAAUGAUCACGGAGAGGGCAACAAGCUGCUCUUCGGCGUCAGCUCCAUGCAGGGCUGGCGCUGCGAAAUGGAGGAUGCUUACUAUGCCCGCGUGGGGCUAGACAAUGCCCUGAACGACUGGAGCUUCUUCGCGGUGUUCGACGGGCAUGCCGGCUGCAAGGUGUCGGAGCACUGUGCCAAGCAUCUGCUGGACAGCAUUGUGCACACGGACGAGUUCAUAAGCGGCGACCAUGUGAAGGGCAUACGCACUGGCUUCCUGCGCAUCGACGAGGUGAUGCGCGACUUGCCCGAGUUCACCAAGGAUUCCAAAUGCGGCGGUACCACCGCCGUGUGCGCCUUUGUCAGCUCGACGCAGGUGUAUAUCGCCAAUUGUGGGGACUCUCGUGCCGUGCUGUGUCGACAGGGGGUUCCGGUGUUUGCCACGCAGGACCACAAGCCCAUUCUGCCCGAGGAGAAGGAGCGCAUACACAAUGCCGGUGGCAGUGUGAUGAUCAAGCGCGUAAACGGCACCCUGGCCGUGUCCCGAGCCCUUGGCGACUACGACUUCAAGAACGUCAAGGAGAAGGGGCAGUGCGAGCAGCUGGUAUCACCCGAGCCGGAAAUCUUUUGCCAAAGCCGCCAGGACACCGACGAGUUCUUGGUGCUCGCCUGCGACGGCAUCUGGGAUGUAAUGACCAACGAGGAUGUGUGCAGCUUCAUCCAUUCGAGGCUCAAGGUGACCAGCAAUCUAGUGAGCAUUGCCAAUCAGGUGGUGGACACUUGCCUGCACAAGGGCAGCCGCGAUAAUAUGAGCAUCAUUAUUAUUGCCUUCCCCGGAGCACCGAAGCCAACCGAAGAGGCGAUAGAGGCUGAGCAUCGGCUGGAGAAACAAAUCGAGAAGAUCACAAGAGACGAGAUAGAGUCUAACCAGAUUACCGAUUACCUGGAUCUGCUGAAGUGUAUGCAGAACAAAGACGACAUUGAAGGUCUUCCACCCGGCGGCGGUUUGCAGUCCAAAUAUCACGUUAUCGAGCGCACAUUCAAGCAAGAGUUUCCGGAUCGACCAUGUGAACUGUAUGCAUUUGAAGAUAUAUGAGUUUUGUAAUACCUAAUAUUGUACAUUUCCAAACCAACUGUAAUCAAUCAAUCAAUCAAUCAAUCAAUCAAACAAACAAACAAACAAUCAACCAACCAAGCAACAAGUGAACAAACGAUAACUAAACACUUCCUCAGCUUCAUAUAUUCUAAAUAGCCCAACGCAUUGAGUUGCAGAUAAACCUUUAAAUAGAAACCAGUUAAACAAACGCAGCAAACCUGAACAGAAGAAAGAUCUUAAAUGCCACACACACACCACACCCACACCCACACCCGCGCCCACAAACAACAUGAACGAAACGAUGCGAAACAAACAAAACACACACCAAACAGUUUUCUACUUUGAUAAACGCUAAAGAAAAACCUACUAAUAAUGAUAAUAAUAAGCAUUACGAUACAUUUAUAGUUUAUAUGAAGAGGCCUGUCCUGUCUGUCAGCCCCCUCCCCACUCAACAGUACCACAGCCACACACCCACGCGGACACACGAGAACACAAUUUACGAACCGAACCUAUACUCCAAAUGAGUUCUAAAAUAGCACUCAGAGAGCAGAGAAAUUCAAUAAGAAGCACCGAAUGGCUCAAAGCCAGCAACAGCAGCAGCAGCAGCACCAGCACCAGCAAGAGCCCUACUCCACACCACACCACACAAUAAUGAUGCAUAAGGAUCACCCACACACUAAACCGACAUUUAAUAAAUAACCCAACAGGAGA